rnacentral:rRNA from 1 species
UGGGGAAUAUUGCACAAUGGGCGCAAGCCUGAUGCAGCCAUGCCGCGUGUGUGAAGAAGGCCUUCGGGUGGUAAAGCACUUUCAGCGGGGAGGAAGGCGUUAAGGUUAAUAACCUUGGCGAUUGACGUUACCCGCAGAAGAAGCACCGGCUAACUCCGUGCCAGCAGCCGCGGUAAUACGGAGGGUGCAAGCGUUAAUCGGAAUUACUGGGGGUAAAGCGCACGCAGGCGGUUUGUCAAGUCGAAUGUGAAAUCCCCGGGCUCAACCUUGGAACUGCAUUCGAUACUGGCAGGUUAGAGGUUUGUAGGGGGGGGUAGAAUUCCCGGUUUAGCGAUGAAAUGCGUAGAGAUCUGGAGGAAUACCGGUGGCGAAGGCGGCCCCCUGGACAAAGACUGACGCUCAGGUGCGAAAGCGUGGGGAGCAAACCAG